CUUAAGUGAAAAUAGUAAAGUCUAGAAGUGAGUCUGGGGAGAGAAACAUCCCCGUGCACAGACACCAGCAUGUGAGCUGAGGCGGGGCAGACGCUGUGAUGGCUCCCUGCCGAGGUGCAGGCAGAGGAUGAGAACAGGUGUAUCGAGAUGCAAGGCCCAUCCACCCUCCCGAGAGGCUCUGCCCUCUGGGAAAGCAGGAAGGCGGUCCCGGGACCCGGUGCCGUUCUAAGAUGUUUUUCUUCUGGGCCUUCGGUUCCGUGGCUGCGUAGGGGCGUUGGUGAGCAGGGGACAGGACUGCGACUGGAUGUCUGUAGUGACAGGAGCUUAUUCCCGAAAGGAAAUGUGGCCACUAGGCUAAGAAGAUGAGGGCUUGAAAAAAAGCAAAGCUUGGAAUUCCUGCCAGAGGUGAAUGGAUGAAGAUAUAGCUGGUUUAACUUUGUAUUGGGACUCUGAUAUGCUCCCUUAUUGUCACUGCUUCCAUGGACCCUUUAGGUAAGAUUCCUAAAUGCACGAUCCUCCAUCUGGCUAUAUUAAAAUGUGAUGUCAGAAGAUAUUUCAUUGUCUUCUUUUUCUAAAAGAUAAAUUCUAAUGGGGUCUGACACUGUAAGCACUAUAGCAAGGGCUCUCUUCUGAAUGUAUUCUGAUUUGGGCAAUUUCAUUCUCUCCACCAAAAUUCUGCUGAAAUUUUAGGUCCUCUAGCCUUCCCAAACAGCAUUUCUCUUUCCAGUCAUCAUAUUUCUCUACAUCAGCAACAUCAAUGAAUCAAAGGCUUAAGCCUAAGACAACUCUGAAUUCCCUGGGCAUUUCUGCAAUUAAAUAUUGAGAAUUAGUUUCUUUUAAAAUAUUUUCCAUAUAAUUUGUGCUUCAGAGCACAUUUUUUUUUUUAACAUAGGCCCUUUAGUUCAUAACAUAAUCCUUUUAGUUUAGUGUGAAUUUUGGAUUUAUUUUCAGGUUGUAAAUAAUGCAUCCAUUAAGCUGUAUGUUUAACAUUGCUUGGUUUCCUGUUAGUAUUUACCCCGCAGUAAUCUUCAGCAAUAGAACAGUGAAAGGUUCUGUUUAUCAUUUGGUGCUCAUUUAUUAUUAAUCUAAGAUUUGACAGACUCCAAGAGUCUAUUGUUGUUUCUUGUGGCACGUAAGUGAGCUAGAGGAACUGAUAGAUUGUUCAUGUUCAAUGGAAAUAAUAAUAUGCAUUUUUCUAGAGUAUUGAUGUGUUUCCAAAUACGCUACCUGUUAAAGGAGAUAAUUG
rnacentral:lncRNA from 1 species